AAUAAAAAUAAAAUAUUAUGCAAUCUUCCUGUUUUUAGAAAAGCAGGUAAAACAUAACUUUGCAUUGGUAACAAGCACAUGAAUCCUUGUUACAGAACAGAAUCUUCCUAAAGCAGAAUGACUCCCAAGGGACAGGGAAUCCUGAGUGUGUUUUCCAGGAAAUAUUUUUCUCAAGUUUCUCAACAGUAAUAAAAGACUUCUGACAAACUGGUGUCAAAGAUUUCUUUGAGCAAAUAUGAGAAACUGUCAGCUUACCCCUUCUUAAUGGCAGUAAGAAGCAAAUUAUUUAUAAAAACUGAUGUGUGAAAAAAUUAGAGUUCAGAGAAACAAGUAAGAAUUUCUAAAGUAAUCUUUAGAAAUCAGGUUUUUAGAAUAUUCCCUCUGAUAUUUAAGUAUAUGACAGGGUAUGAAGUAUCUCCAAUAGUUAGCAUUAGGCUUAAUGUCCAAGCAACUGUCAUUAGGUAACUAGUUUUUGAAAAUAAUGGAGAAGUGUAGCCUGAGGCUUGGCAGAGUCUAUUCCUCUGUUGUUAAGAGUUUAGAUAAUAUCUAAGGCUUGGUGCCUCACAUCUUUAACUUAUUCAGAGUGCGAUUAUGGUGGAGAAUACUCAAUACAGAACAUUAAAGGAAAAGUAAUUUUUUUAGAACAACCAUUGUUCGGUAAAUAUGGGUGAGUGAUGGUCUUUAUAAGCCUUUAUGGCCUCCCACGCUUGUAUCUUAUUUGGUAUCAUAUUAGAUAAAAUCAACCCUUUCCACAGAAUAUCUUCCGGGUCAUGCAGCCUAAGACUUCCUUCUUCUCCACUCCUGCUCCUCCUUUUUCUCCUCCUCCUUUUAAGAAAACCACAGUAAGAAUAAAAAAGAGUUUAUGCUUGCCAUAUUAUUGUCCACAUAUAUUUUAUUUUAUUUUAUUUUUUCUUUUCUGAUUGACAAAGAGUCUUUGGCAAGGAAUAUCUUUGUCAAACAAAACUUUACUAAUCUACAUUAUAUUCUAAAGUAGAAACUGUUAAGAGGAAAUAUGAAAAUAACUCUAAGGCCUAAAUGUUGUAGAGUAAGAGUUAGCAAAUAAACUAAAUAUAGUUAAUAUUUUAGGUUUGCAGGUGAUACAGUCUUGGUCACAACUGCUCAGUUCUGUUGUUGUAGAACUUAUGCUGUCUUAAUAAUAUUUAGAUAUUUUGCUUAUAACUUCUUUUGAAUUAAUUUUAAUUUUUAACAUAUUGCAUUAGAUAUGAUUUAUCUUCAUGACUGAACUUUUUGCACCCCUCCCCACCCUUAGGUUCUGUGCCUGAGAUUCUAGGAAAAGAAGAGGAUUUUCUCAUCAUUACUUGGGUGCAGUGAGGAGCUAAAUUUAUGGAAUCAGAGUCAAAUUUGAAAUAAAUUUGUCCAUGAAAAAGUCACAAAAAUUGGUUAAGACCUCUAGCGUUACUUGUUCCAUGUAGCAAUCAAAUAGCUUGUGUGGGGCUGAAUGUUUAAUUUACUACACUCUCUCUAAUAACUUUUCUUAUCCAAUAAUGUGUUUCACAUUGUAAACUGCUUACAUCCCAUCAUAAGUUUGCUUCACAAAUUGUGAGUUUAGCUUUAUAAGUGCAUAUAAAGUUAUGCAUGGCUUAAGUGAUACUAUAAAUAAAUAAAACAUAAAAGAUACUGCCUAUCUGGCUGCAGAAGUAAACUACCACCAGAUUUCAGCCCAGUUGGCACAAGAAUAAUGCUUUGGAGCAAUUCAAGUCUGAAACAGCUUCAGUGAUACCAUUUAAACUUGAGGUAUAUUGGCAGAGCAAGGAUAUGACUAAACUAAAUUUGGCUUAAGCCACCUAUUACUCAUACCCUCUUUCUACUGCAUUCACACUUCAAUUAACAAACUGUAUAUGAUACACACACAUAUAUUUAUAGUUUAUAUUUUUCCUGUGUUGGCAAUGAAACUUUUUAAAUUACCUUCUGUAAGCUGUGAGAAUCUUCUAUUUGAAUCUAUUUGACAAGAUAAGACUUAGCUUCAAAAGUGUUGGGUACAUGGGUUUUUCCUGUUCAUCUUAAAAAAAGAGUUAACAUUUGUGCACUUUAACUUACCUCAUUACCACUCCUCACUCCUCUUGCUAAGUGGGAUAUGAUCAUCACAUCCUUUUUAUGAUAACUAACACUUACUCAGAAGGAGGCUCUAUGUCAAGCAUUUUGUAUGCGCUACGAUUAUUUUCAAUAGUGUGAUAGGUACACUGAGAUUUCAAAGUUAGAAAACUCCACCCAAGUUACAAGGUCAGUAUCUCCUUUAGUCAAGGCAUCAUUCUCUACUCUUUUAAAGGUCAAGUUUAUUGAAGUAUAACUUACAUGAGGAGGCACCAUUUUCUAUGAGUUUUGACAAAUAUUCUAAGUGUGUAACCACCACCACAGUCAACAGAAAAAUAUUUUCAUGACUGUUUAUGGUCAAUCCACUUUCCCAACCUGGCUGGCUGCUACUGACAUUACUGUCGUCAUAUGUUUGUCUUUACUAAAAUGUCAUAACAUUGUAAUCACACAGUAUGUGGUCUUUUGUGUAAACUUCUUUUCCUAGCGCUAUUUUAAGAUGUAUCUGCAUUUUUGCAUGUUAAUUCCUCUUUAGUGAUAAAUUGUAUUACACUGAAUGGAAGUACUUUGUUUAUUCAUUCACUAGUUAACAGGCAUUUGUGUUGUGUCCAGUUUUUAACAUUUAUGAAUAAAAUCACUAUAACCA